CGUGGAAACUGUUUAAGUUUGGGAGCGAUAUGUCUGGCCUCAACCCUUCAUUCUUCAAAAAUCUGGUAUUUCGGGAUUCCUUCCCAAUUUGUGUUAGCUGUGUUGACAGAGAACAAGUGUGAUAUGAAAGUCAUCAGCGGGCUCUUUCAGGUAACCCAGGUGAGUACUGUUGGAUAGGAUGGGGACAGGGGAGACAGAAACAUUCAGGUUUUGGUGAUACUUUUGAGGUAGAAUCCAUGAGACUUGAUGAUUGAGUGGAUGUGAUGUCUUAGUCUGUUCUGGCUUCUAUAAAAAGUUACCAUAAGCCAGGUAGUUUAUAAACAACAGAAAUUUUUUUCUCAUAGUUCUAGAGGCUAGGAAACCCAGAUCAAGGUGCUGGCAGAUUCAUUGUCUGGUGAGGGCCAUUUCCACAAUGGCACCUUCUUGCUGGGUCCUCACAGGCUCGAGUACAGUGGGCCAAUCAUAGUUCACUGUAACCUCAACUUCCUGGGCUCAAGCAAUCCUCCUGCCUCAGCCUCCCAAGUAGCUAGGACUACAAGCACCAGCCACCACACCGGGCUAAAUAAAUUUUUUGAAAAGAUGGCGUGUCGCUAUGUUUCCCAGGCCGGUCUUGAACUCCUGGCUUUAAGCAAUUCUCACACCUUGGCCUCCCAAAGCACUGGGAUUACAGACGUAAGCCACCACACCCGGCCUGCAGUCUCUUUUAUAAGGACACUAAUCCCAAUCAUGAGGGGUCUGCCAAAGUCCCCACCUCCUAAUAACAUCAGUUUAAGUGUUAGAAUUCCAACACAUGAAUUUUUAGGGUACACAAAUAUUCAAGCCAUAGCAAGAGGAAAGAGGGAGUGUUUGUUGAUAGCAUGAGCAAUUGUAUGGAUGUGGCCCCACAUACUGGAGGCAAACAGAUCAGGGGCUAAAAGCAUGAGUUAAGGGCAUGUGUUUUGAUGCCUGAGAGACAUCUAAAAGACGACUCCUGUAGGCACCUGAAUGUAGGAAUCUGGAGUACAUAGAAAAGAAAUUGGAGCUAGACCUAAAAUGAGGUCUUUGUAGCCAUGGAAGUGGCUAAGCUCACCUGGGGAGAUACCAUUUACCAAAGGUAAGCCGAGGGUACAUUCCAGCUAAGUAGAAGCAUGUUAGAAUUUGGCUGCAGAGAAUGCCAAAAGCCUAAGAGAUUGGUACUGGUUCUAAAGAAAAGACACUCUACCCAGCACAAGUGAGAUGUACAAAGUGCCCAUUUCAACAAGCCAGAGACACACGUGGUAGUCAGGCCCACAGCUCUGCAUUGCCUAAGUGAGAUUAGAGCUGGGACGGUGGCCCGGAGCUGCUUCUCCAGUCCUAACGCCUAGAAUCAUGGGAUGGAGAUUCGUGUUAGUGCCCGACAGUCACACCCAUGAUACCCUCCUGCUGAUGCGGAGGAAGAGACCUGAGGAGUUCCUCCGCAAACACUCUUACCCGUACUGCUAGAUUUAC
rnacentral:lncRNA from 1 species